GGGGGGGGGGGGGGGGGUGGGUGGGGGGGGGGGGUCGGGGGGACGGGGGGGGCGCGUGCGGCUCGGGCGGUGGCGGCGGACGGGGGAGUAACACGGGGGUACCCGACCUAUAAGACUGGGAUACGUUCGGGACACCGGAGCUAGUCCCUGAUAGUCUAUUGAACCGCAUGGUUCACUAGUGAAAGACGGUUGUGCUGUCACUUAUAGAUGGAUCCGCGCCGCCUUAGCUCGUUGGUAAGGUAACGGCUUACCAAGGCAACGAUGCGUAGCCGACCUGAGAGGGUGAUCGGCCACACUGGAACUGAGACACGGUCCAGACUCCUACGGGAGGCAGCAGUAGGGAAUCUUCCGCAAUGGGCGAAAGCUUGACGGAGCAACGCCGCGUGAGUGAUGAAGGUCUUCGGAUCGUAAAACUCUGUUAUUAGGGAAGAACAAAUGUGUAAGUAACUAUGCACGUCUUGACGGUACCUAAUCAGAAAGCCACGGCUAACUACGUG
rnacentral:rRNA from 1 species